AUGGGAUCUGUUUGGACACGGCGAGAGAGACAGUUUGCGCAUACUCAGGUUAGGGGAUGCUACCCGUCCUUCAUGGCGCAGUUUGAUAGUUUGCACGAGGAUCAAGUUAUUUGGGAGCCAUACUCGCCUCAGGCUAUAUCAUCGAGGUACCCAGUUGGGAUUUCUGGAUUGUGCACUAGAGAUCGGCACUUUUGGAUGACCAAGGCCAAGUUGGUGUUCGACGUGACGGUUGAGGAGAUGUCUCUUCAUAGGGUGAUGAGACAGUUCGGUCUAUAUCAAGAGCCUGUGAUUCCAGAUAUUCCACACUUGCCAGACCACGUGCACAAGGACAGUCGCCUAGGAGGAAACAAGUCCAUGACUUAUUGGCUUGAGAGCAUUACCCCUUACGUUGACGAAUGGACUACCGCUGCGACAAAUAUCUGGGGUGAGGUUCGGCCCUUUAACUGGGAAAUGUUUGGGUUGUAUCUGCAGCGUUACCGGCAUACAACGAGGAUCUACUUGGUUCCAUCAGCUGCUACUGAUCAGAUCGAAGCCCCUCUCACCAGCGAUAUGUACCCAACUGCCUCUGUUGUGGGAACCAGACACCACGCGGUAAAUGCCUUGGUUCUCAUAUGUUAA
rnacentral:rRNA from 1 species